AUGAACGCUGGCGGCGUGCCUAAUCCAUGCAAGUCGAACGAAACUUCUUUAUCACCGAGUGCUUGCACUCACCGAUAAAGAGUUGAGUGGCGAACGGGUGAGUAACACGUGGGCAACCUGCCCAAAAGAGGGGGAUAACACUUGGAAACAGGUGCUAAUACCGCAUAACCAUAGUUACCGCAUGGUAACUAUGUAAAAGGUGGCUAUACUACCGCUUUUGGAUGGGCCCGCGGCGCAUUAGCUAGUUGGUAGGGUAAAGGCUUACCAAGGCAAUGAUGCGUAGCCGAAUUGAGAGGUUGAUCGGCCACAUUGGGACUGAGACACGGCCCAAACUCCUACGGGAGGCAGCAGUAGGGAAUCUUCCACAAUGGGCGAAAGCCUGAUGGAGCAACGCCGCGUGGGUGAAGAAGGUCUUCGGAUCGUAAAACCCUGUUGUUAGAGAAGAAAGUGCGUGAGAGUAACUGUUCACGUUUCGACGGUAUCUAACCGGAAAGCCACGGCUAACUACGUG
rnacentral:rRNA from 1 species